rnacentral:rRNA from 1 species
GAUGAACGCUGGCGGCGUGCUUAACACAUGCAAGUCGAACGGAAAGGCUCCUGCUUGCAGGGGUACUCGAGUGGCGAACGGGUGAGUAACACGUGGGUGAUCUGCCCUGCACUUCGGGAUAAGCCUGGGAAACUGGGUCUAAUACCGGAUAGGACGAUGGUUUGGAUGCCAUUGUGGAAAGUUUUUUCGGUGUGGGAUGAGCUCGCGGCCUAUCAGCUUGUUGGUGGGGUAAUGGCCUACCAAGGCGUCGACGGGUAGCCGGCCUGAGAGGGUGUACGGCCACAUUGGGACUGAGAUACGGCCCAGACUCCUACGGGAGGCAGCAGUGGGGAAUAUUGCACAAUGGGCGCAAGCCUGAUGCAGCGACGCCGCGUGGGGGAUGACGGCCUUCGGGUUGUAAACUCCUUUCGCUAGGGACGAAGCGCAAGUGACGGUACCUGGAGAAGAAGCACCGGCUAACUACGCG